rnacentral:lncRNA from 1 species
GUGUAGUAAUAGCUAUAUAGUUAGCCUAAAUAACAGGAAGUAUGUUUCUAUUAUAGUGAAAAUAAAACAAAACAUUAGACUUGGAUUCAAAGGAUAUGAUUCUGAUUCUCAUCCCUGUUUACAACUUGUAUGGUACUUCUCAGUGUGGUCAGAUGGAUCCCUGGGGGUCUCCACAGCCUUUUCAAUGGGUUUGUGAGGCCGAAUCUAUUUUCAUAAUAAUGCCGAAAUGUUUUUAAUUUCAGAUAUAAUAAAAAUCAAUAGACAUAAUCCACAUAAAUAAAUCCUCAAAUUCUAAGAAUAUAGUGGUCAGUUUGAGAACUACUAGGAUAGAUGUUUUAAAGUCUCUUCCAGCUCCAAGUCAUAUGAUCUUAUGAAAAUUUCAAUUUUUUCUUAGCAGCAGAUAUUUCUCCCAGUGUUCUCCAAUAUUAUUAAGUCAGUGACUUGAGUUCUUGAUUUUUAUUAGGUUAUUCCUAAACUGACCAUUUUGUUCAUAAUCUAAUGACUUAUUUAUUUAAAUCCCAGAAGUCAAGAGUUCAAAUUUAUUUUGUAACCUUUCACCUAUCCAUAAUGAUGAUUCAGAUUAUAUAGACAUAAUCCAUAAUACCUUGGAUCCUCUAUAUUACAUGAGCACAAAAUUCAGUUCACUUACAAGACAGAUCUCUCUUGAAUCCUAAGCAGAGGGGUUUAUUAUUGCAAAUGACAGAUGGAUCCUAUUAGAACAAUGUCUUAUUUCUAAGAACAAUGUUCUUUUCUACAGUUUGCUGGAACAAAAUUGCUUUCUAAUACAUGAAUUUCUUUUAAAGGAAGUACUAUUUCUAUAACAUAUAGGAAAAUAGACUUUACAAGUUACAACUGUUUGUAUCUUUUAGACUGUAUGUAGUCUAACCUUAUAGUAAUGGAGAGUUUUCACAGUGGGAGUUUCCCUGCAUGAGACAAUUACAGGGCUGGCCUCCCCCCAAUAUAGAUAAGAUAGAUUUAUGCACAGACACAAUUCCAAUUCCAGUGCUUACGGUUUAACUUCACCUAGAAAAUCACUGAUUUAACUUUUUAAUAGUUUGAAAUCAAGCCAGAAAUAGCCAGAGGAAAGAGAGAGAGAGAGAGAGAGAAAGAGAGAGAGAGAGAGAGAAAGCUAAGAUGGAGAUGUUUUUCUUAUUAAUGGUAAAAAGGGGAAAGAAUCUUCUCUUUGAAUUUGCACACAAUUUGAAAUCAUUCCGAAAGUGGAAGUAGCAUUCUGUUCAGCUGACAAUGCAAUUUGGAGAACUUAAACUACAAUUGCCAUUUAAGAAUUAAUAACUGAUUGGCCAACUAUAACAGCAUACAUACACACACACACACACACACACACAUAUACAUAUAUAUCAUGCCAGAUUCCCCCAUCCCAGCAUAUAGAUAUCAGAAUGAGGAUAAAUACAUAUUUGCAUAUAUCCAUAGGUAUACAAUAUGGUGCACAUGUAGACAUGUAUGUAAAUGCACAUGUAGACACAUCACAUAUAUUUGCAUUCAUUUUAAUGACCGUUAAUGCUUUUCUGCUUUGCCAGGUUAUAUGAUUAUUAUGUAUCUAUAUGUAUCUAUAUGUAUCUAUAUCUAGGUAUUCAAAAACUGUAAGAUAGUAUAAACGCAAGCAUAUAUGUAUUAUUUGUAAGGAAAUAGCCCUCAGAAUGCAUACACAUGCGUGUACAACGUAUAUACACGCACAUCUGCAACGGCUUAUAUGAUGCCCAAUAUUCCCCAAAUCUUGCUUUUUCACUAAGCAUUGCUUGCACAAAGCACUCUCCAGGUCCACGCGGAAACCACAUGGUGUAUCUACAUCAUUUUAAAACUCUCAGGCAAGCUGCCUACUGCAACAUGGCUCACAUGCUCAUUCUGAACUCCUAUCUACUGCUUGUAACAAAUCCAUCGGGCAAAAUCACUCCCUUUCAAUCAGUCUGGGCAUCCGAUUUUUAAAAAAUUAUAAAAGCUACGGACCCUCCCCCUCUACCAUUUAGGAUCAGAAGGGGGGAAGGGAGUAGGGUAGGGGUGGUCGGUGGCGUAGGUGGAAGUGUUUCCAUCCUGGGUGGGAGGCUGGGAUCAGAGCCAAAGACAGCCUUCCUUACAGGACAGGUCUAAGCAGCGCCUCCUCCUUUGUUCUUUCUCCCUCUGAUGCUGCAUCUGCUUUUCUAUUCUCCAGCCCCGGCCGCCUGUGGGAAAUUUGCUGGUUUGCUUUUUUUUUUUUUUUUUUUUUUUUUAACUAAGUUGGAUUCUUUUCCUUUUCGGUUCCAUCUUGUUCCCCUAGCCGAUACCGCCGGUUCUACCGACACCCCCUCCAACUCCUCCCCCGGGAGACGUGGGGGCGGGGGCGGGAUUAGUCGAGGUGAGGGGCUCUUCACCUAGGUAGCCUAUCCUAGAUCUGUACUGCCCCGGAGUCCAGGGGCGCGCGCCAGCAUUUUUUUGCUCAAAAUGGUCAAUAGAGACGAGACUGAUCCUCCUCUCUCCCAGUCCAUCCCAAUCCGGGGAUGCGGAAGGAUGGGGCUCCCUGGGGACUGGGUUCCUCUCUGGACCUCUCGUAGUCUGGGCCGUUGUCCCCCCUCACCCCGGGAAGAGGAAGGUGGAUUGCAAAAGCGAAACUUGGGCAAAACGGCGACCGCCUCUCCAGCUCACGCACUUUGGGGGUGCCCAGCUCUCUCGGCCGGCCCGGUUUUGCAUUCCACUCCAGACCACCCGAACUCCAUCGUGCGUGUGUGUGUGUGUGUGUGUGUGUGCGCGUGUGUUGCCCUGCUUCACAGAUUCACCGUGUGUCCCAC